UACGGAGGGAGCUAGCGUUGUUCGGAAUUACUGGGCGUAAAGCGCACGUAGGCGGCUUUGUAAGUUAGAGGUGAAAGCCCGGGGCUCAACCCCGGAAUUGCCUUUAAGACUGCAUCGCUUGAAUCCAGGAGAGGUGAGUGGAAUUCCGAGUGUAGAGGUGAAAUUCGUAGAUAUUCGGAAGAACACCAGUGGCGAAGGCGGCUCACUGGACCGGUAUUGACGCUGAGGUGGCGAAAAGCGUGGGGAGCAAACAGG
rnacentral:rRNA from 1 species